UACGAAGGGGGCUAGCGUUGCUCGGAAUCACUGGGCGUAAAGGGUGCGUAGGCGGGUCUUUAAGUCAGGGGUGAAAUCCUGGAGCUCAACUCCAGAACUGCCUUUGAUACUGAAGAUCUUGAGUGCGGGAGAGGUGAGUGGAACUGCGAGUGUAGAGGUGAAAUUCGUAGAUAUUCGCAAGAACACCAGUGGCGAAGGCGGCUCACUGGCCCGAUACUGACGCUGAGGCUACGAAAGCGUGGGGAGCAAACAGG
rnacentral:rRNA from 1 species